CGAACGCUGGCGGCAGGCCUAACACAUGCAAGUCGAACGGCAGCACAGAAGAGCUUGCUCUUUGGGUGGCGAGUGGCGGACGGGUGAGUAAUGUCUGGGAAACUGCCCGAUGGAGGGGGAUAACUACUGGAAACGGUAGCUAAUACCGCAUAACGUCGCAAGACCAAAGUGGGGGACCUUCGGGCCUCACACCAUCGGAUGUGCCCAGAUGGGAUUAGCUAGUAGGUGGGGUAAUGGCUCACCUAGGCGACGAUCCCUAGCUGGUCUGAGAGGAUGACCAGCCACACUGGAACUGAGACACG
rnacentral:rRNA from 1 species